AUGUUGGGAAGGGAUAAACGCUGAAAGCAUCUAAGCGUGAAGCCCACCUUAAGAUUAGAUUUCCCAUAGCGUAAGCUAGUAAGACCCCUGAAAGACUAUCAGGUUGAUAGGUUGGAGGUGUAAGUACAGUAAUGUAUUCAGCUGACCAAUACUAAUAGGUCGAGGGCUUGAUCAAAUU
rnacentral:rRNA from 1 species